rnacentral:rRNA from 1 species
AUUGAACGCUGGCGGCAUGCUUUACACAUGCAAGUCGAACGGCAGCGCGGGCUUCGGCCUGGCGGCGAGUGGCGAACGGGUGAGUAAUGCAUCGGAACGUGCCCAGUAGUGGGGGAUAGCCCGGCGAAAGCCGGAUUAAUACCGCAUACGACCUGAGGGUGAAAGCGGGGGACCGAAAGGCCUUGCGCUAUUGGAGCGGCCGAUGUCGGAUUAGCUAGUUGGUGGGGUAAAGGCUUACCAAGGCGACGAUCCGUAGCUGGUCUGAGAGGACGACCAGCCACACUGGGACUGAGACACGGCCCAGACUCCUACGGGAGGCAGCAGUGGGGAAUUUUGGACAAUGGGGGCAACCCUGAUCCAGCCAUGCCGCGUGCGGGAAGAAGGCCUUCGGGUUGUAAACCGCUUUUGUUCGGGAAGAAAUCCUCUGGGCUAAUACCCCGGGGGGAUGACGGUACCGGAAGAAUAAGCACCGGCUAACUACGUG